CAGUAGCCGCGGUAAUACGAAGGGGGCAAGCGUUGUUCGGAUUUACUGGGCGUAAAGCGUACGUAGGCGGAUAUUUAAGUCAGGGGUGAAAUCCCGAGGCUCAACCUCGGAACUGCCUUUGAUACUGGAUAUCUUGAGUCCGAGAGAGGUGAGUGGAACUCCUAGUGUAGAGGUGAAAUUCGUAGAUAUUAGGAAGAACACCAGUGGCGAAGGCGGCUCACUGGCUCGGAACUGACGCUGAGGUACGAAAGCGUGGGGAGCAAACAGGAUUAGAUACCCCUGUAGUCCCUGUCUCUUAUAC
rnacentral:rRNA from 1 species